rnacentral:lncRNA from 1 species
CAGAGGCUAGACAGUUCUCUCUGUGUAACCUCUCUGCUCCCCAGAUGCCGUUUGCACUGAGAAAGCCAAAGGCUGGAGGUUGGAGCACAGUAGGAUGCUGAACUUGGGCCCCAACUCUGCAGCAGCCCAGCCUUCACCUGGACAAAUGGAGAAAUGGAAGCGUUCUGGGAGGCAUGCAUGUUCCUGUGUAUCCACUAUACUUCUCUCUCGAUGCACAUCUUUCUUCAGGCCAGAUCUUUGAGGAAUUGCUACACUGUCUUCCACAAUGACUGAACUAACAUGUACUUCCAGCAACAGCGUAAAGCGUUUCCUAUUACUCCACAUUUUCUCCAGCAUCUGUUGUCUCCUGA